GAUGAACGCUGGCGGCGUGCCUAAUACAUGCAAGUCGAGCGAACGGACGAGAAGCUUGCUUUUCUGAUGUUAGCGGCGGACGGGUGAGUAACACGUGGAUAACCUACCUAUAAGACUGGGAUAGCUUCGGGAAACCGGAGCUAAUACCGGAUAAUAUUUUGAACCGCAUGGUUCAAAAGUGAAAGACGGUCUUGCUGCCACUUAUAGAUGGAUCCGCGCUGCAUUAGCUAGUUGGUAAGGUAACGGCUUACCAAGGCAACGAUGCAUAGCCGACCUGAGAGGGUGAUCGGCCACACUGGAACUGAGACACGGUCCAGACUCCUACGGGAGGCAGCAGUAGGGAAUCUUCCGCAAUGGGCGAAAGCCUGACGGAGCAACGCCGCGUGAGUGAUGAAGGUCUUCGGAUCGUAAAACUCUGUUAUUAGGGAAGAACAUAUGUGUAAGUAACUGUGCACAUCUUGACGGUACCUAAUCAGAAAGCCACGGCUAACUACGUG
rnacentral:rRNA from 1 species